AGCAGAACAGGAUUGAGGAUCAGGUCUCUGGUCUUGGAAGUGGCCCCUCUCUCUUACACUAUGCUGCUCUUCCACAGGUAUGAAAAAUAAUUGUUGAAAGAAUCCUAAACGUCACCCCAUCUAUCUUACUUCCACCCCAAGAGCAGAGCAUCCUGGUAGCAUCCUCAUCAUCACGGCCACUAUUUGCUGUGCCAGAUAGAUUUUAUGCAGAAGAAAAUCUGAAACUGUGCAGGGGCCUACACGGCCUACUCUCGCUCCUGUUGUCUCUCACCUAGCAUCCCUGUCCGUCACCCCAUGUCACCUGACAUCCUUGCUGUUCUCAAACUGAGGAAGGGCAGAGAGCCAGAGUCCACCACCACAUUCCCAGGCAGAAAAGCAAGCCCUCUGCUUGAUGGAAAUAGAAGCGCAGUUUUAAAGGGCAACUUCUAACAUCCGCCUGGGACUGGCAACGUAUGAAAAGGCCACACAACACCAGGCCCCCUUCCUAUGUGCAUUAGGAUCUGGGGCCAACACGGUUGCUUCUGACCAGCCAUCUCUUCCCAGCUGUUGGGAAGGCAAGAACCAAGUUAAAAAUAUGUAAGCCAUAAUCCAUCACAAUUAAUCACUGAAUGAUUAACUGAAGUUCAAAGCAGGUAGUUAUUCUACCAUAGUCUUCCCUAACACAGGGGCAUUCAAACUAUUCAUACCACCAAGCAGAAGCCUCACUAGCAACUUAAAAUUGAUCACCGUCAAAACCUGCUCGAUGAAGGCCUUUUCCAUCUUACAUCUUAUAACUACCUUAUCUGUUUGCACAAUAUUUACUUGUAUGUGUAUCCAAGACCUCCAUAUUCCACUUCUUCCAGUUUUUAUUAACAGAUGGUGAAAAGACUAAGACACAGCUGUGCUCCAGAUGUCGGCAAACAAGAGCUUAAGCUACAUCAUAUCACUUUGUGAGCUCCACAUUUCCCACUGUGCUGAGAGCUUAGGACCUACUUCUUGCUCACUGAAAUCUUCCAGGGACACUUGGAACCCUUCUAGUAUGUAUCUUAGAGUUGUAAUAAAUAGUUCCUGCUCUCAAGGAGCUCAUAGGUUAGUAGUAAAUGAUUUAAAAACCUGGACAUGCUACAAUCACUACUUCGGGAUCCACUGAUAGAAGACAUACUACAGAAAAUUUGGGUUUAAACCAUAAGUUUGGAUCUUCUAAGUGGGUUCGUUAAAAGAUGAAUUCCUAUUAGGCAGGGAUUCUUGGGGAAAUCCCCAAAUGGUGUUGAGGUCCUCUGGCAUCAGUGCAAUGAUUUUUCCUGUUUAAGGAUAUAGAUGAAACUCAUAGCUUAUAACCUGUGUUCUUAAACAAGUUAAAAAUUAUGGAGCCCUUUUGCCAGUAAAGGAAUAUGCACACUGCAUUGAGGAAGGAGCUGUUAACUGUAAAUCCUUUGCUUAAAGGCCCUUCUCUUUAAGAAUUUUGUUUACCUGUUAUAUGGGGACCCAAGUCCCAAUAUAAACAAAUUAAAGGAAAACUGGUCCCACUAUAUCUCACUUGAGACAAAAGAAACUUGUAAAUGAUUUCACCACAGGCCCGUAUUUUUGCCCCAAAUAAAAGAACAGAGGCUGAGUAUGGCCCACCAUGGGCUCAGCUCCCAGGUAUAUGGUGUACAUAUACAUGGUAGGUGAGACCUACCAUCAGACAAGUAUUUAUAAGCUUUUUCUACAUGUCAAACAUAAUUGUAGGUACAGGAAGGUAUAAAAUAUCAACAUCCAGAUCAAUCUGCAAGUUACAUGAUUAUAAGGUAAGAAGAAAGAAUGAAAUGGGUAGACAGGAUAGUACCAGAAGGACUCGGCAAGGAGAGGAUAUCUGAGUAAAGAUGUGAAUGGAGCAUCCUCAUGACCAUCUCAAGGCACAGUGCUGCAGGUAGAGGGCACAGGGAGUGCAAAGGCCUGGCAGCAUUAGCACAUACAGCACAUAAACGUAAGGAAACUGUGACAUCAUUAGAGAAUAAAAACAAAGUUUUGCCCUCCCUUGCCCUCAAGAAAAGAGGUCUGAACAUAGAUGAAGGCAAAAGGAAACACAAAAAACAUGAAACUUUAAAAUAUGAUAAAGACAAAGAAUAUUCAAUAAUAUCCACUGUAAGUGGAUAUAUUUUCUUAAAACAGAAAAACUGAACAAAAGGACAAAAAAGAUAUAAUACAGGAGAACUUUCCUGAAAGGAAAAGAACUGAAUUGGAGAUCAAAAGGACACAGUACCUAUAGGAGGGAGGACAAGAAACAACACUGAGAUGGUCUAUUUACUUCAAGUAUGAGGAAACAAUUCUUCAGGAAGUCUAUACAGGAAGAAAAAAAAAAAUCAUAGUCAAAAGUCACACUGGGCUCAGGGCUUUGCAGAGCAAUAAUCCAGGUCGGAACAAGAUGAAACAGAGGCUGCAAAGUGCCGAAGGACACAGGGGUCACUCAGGAAUAUCACAGCCAGCUGAACCUGCUGAAUGAUGAGGAGGCGUUCUCAAACGUGAAAACUCAGGGAAGAGGGCAUCACAUGAGCCCCUCUGUUACAAUGGAGGGAAGGAAGGAGGGAAAGAACAGCAGGAGGAAAUUAUCCAGUAAGAUCCAGCUGACCACGGUAAUGAUGAAUGGAAAAGCUGUGGUAAAAAGUAGCACAGCUUUAUUCAGACAUAAUUCAUAUGCCAAACAAUUCACUUGUUUCAAGUGUAUAAUUUGAUGGUUUCUAGUCUAUUCACAGAAGUAACGAGAAGAAUCGUCAAAAUAAAAGAAACAGAGAUGUGGUACUGUGUGAGAAAACCAGGCCACAGAAUUCAUUUAAAUCUUUUAGACGUAAGACAAAAAAAAAAAAAAAAAUUGGAAAUUCAGGUUACAGAAGAAAACUUAUAAUAGAUUUUAGCAACAAAAACCAUUGAAAACUGAGACGGAGGGAGGGGAAAAGAGGUGGGAGGAAGCCUAAGUACAUUAAUCCUCUUACUGUUCACUGAAGAAAGACAAUAUCUCUCUGUCUCAAUUUGAAGUAUGAAAUAAAAAAACAAAUAUGUCAACUC